rnacentral:snRNA from 1 species
GUGCUCGCUUCAGCAGCACAUAAUAACUAAAAUUGGAAUGAUGAAGAGAUUAGCAUGGCCCGUGCACAAGGAUGACAAGCAAAUUUGUGAAUCAUUCCAUAUUUAA